rnacentral:rRNA from 1 species
UACGAAGGGGGCUAGCGUUGUUCGGAAUCACUGGGCGUAAAGGGUGCGUAGGCGGAUUUCUAAGUCAGGGGUGAAAGCCUGAGGCUCAACCUCAGAAUUGCCUUUGAUACUGGAAGUCUUGAGACCGGAAGAGGUAAGUGGAACUGCGAGUGUAGAGGUGAAAUUCGUAGAUAUUCGCAAGAACACCAGUGGCGAAGGCGGCUUACUGGUCCGGUUCUGACGCUGAGGCACGAAAGCGUGGGGAGCAAACAGG